rnacentral:rRNA from 1 species
UACGGAAGGCAGCAGUGGGGAAUAUUGCACAAUGGGCGCAAGCCUGAUGCAGCCAUGCCGCGUGUAUGAAGAAGGCCUUCGGGUUGUAAAGUACUUUCAGCGGGGAGGAAGGCGAUGCGGUUAAUAACCGCGUCGAUUGACGUUACCCGCAGAAGAAGCACCGGCUAACUCCGUGCCAGCAGCCGCGGUAAUACGGAGGGUGCAAGCGUUAAUCGGAAUUACUGGGCGUAAAGCGCACGCAGGCGGUCUGUUAAGUCAGAUGUGAAAUCCCCGGGCUUAACCUGGGAACUGCAUUUUGAACUGGCAGGCUUGAGUCUUGUAGAGGGGGUAGAAUUCCAGGUGUAGCGGUGAAAUGCGUAGAGAUCUGGAGGAAUCCGGUGGCGAAGGCGGCCCCUGGGACAAAGCUGACGCUCAGGUGCGAAAGCGUGGGGAGCAAACAGGAUUAGAUACC